CCGCGUGAUGACGAAGAACUGAUCUCCUACGUCCUUGCCGGCCUCGACGAUGACUACGAGCCGGUCGUCUCCUCUCUCUUGGGCAGAUCGGAGGCGGUCUCCUUCUUCGAGUGCUACUCCCAGCUCUUGAGCUUCGAAU
rnacentral:snoRNA from 1 species